rnacentral:rRNA from 1 species
UCCGUAGGUGAACCUGCGGAGGGAUCAUUACCGAGUUUACAACUCCCAAACCCAAUGUGAACGUUACCAAACUGUUGCCUCGGCGGGAUCUCUGCCCCGGGUGCGUCGCAGCCCCGGACCAAGGCGCCCGCCGGAGGACCAACCAAAACUCUUAUUGUAUACCCCCUCGCGGGUUUUUUUUAUAAUCUGAGCCUUCUCGGCGCCUCUCGUAGGCGUUUCGAAAAUGAAUCAAAACUUUCAACAACGGAUCUCUUGGUUCUGGCAUCGAUGAAGAACGCAGCGAAAUGCGAUAAGUAAUGUGAAUUGCAGAAUUCAGUGAAUCAUCGAAUCCUUGAACGCACAUUGCGCCCGCCAGUAUUCUGGCGGGCAUGCCUGUCCGAGCGUCAUUUCAACCCUCGAACCCCUCCGGGGGGUCGGCGUUGGGGAUCGGCCCUGCCUUGGCGGUGGCCGUCUCCGAAAUACAGUGGCGGUCUCGCCGCAGCCUCUCCUGCGCAGUAGUUUGCACACUCGCAUCGGGAGCGCGGCGCGUCCACAGCCGUUAAACACCCAACUUCUGAAAUGUUGACCUCGGAUCAGGUAGGAAUACCCGCUGAACUUAAGCAUAUCAAUAAGCGGAGGA